GGAGAAGCAGGCUUCCCGCCGAGCAGGGAGCCCGACGCGGGGCUCGAUCCCAGGACCCUGGUGAUCACGACCUGAGCCAAAGGCAGACGCUUAACGGACUGAGCCACCCAGGCAUUCUCAAAUAAAUAAAUCUCUAAAAUCUUAAAAAAAAAAAAAGUUUUGUUUUUUUUUUUAAAGAUUUUAUUUAUUUAUUUGACAGAGAGAGACACAGCGAGAGAGGGAACACAAGCAGAGGGGAGUGGGAGAGGGAGAAGCAGGCUCCCCGCAGAGCAGGGAGCCCGAUGCGGGGCUCGAUCCCAGGACCCUGGGAUCAUGACCUGAGCCGAAGGCAGACGCUUAACCGACUGGGCCACCCAGGAGGCCCUAUUUAUUUUUUAAAAGAUUUUUAUUUUUGAGUAAUGUCUACACCCAACGUGGGGCUCGAACUCACAACCCCAAGAUCAAGAGUCACACGGUCUACCGACUGAGUCAGCCAGGCACCCCGAUCACUCAAAUUAAAUUGCAGAGAAAAAGAUGACCUUAGGACCUGCAUGAUCCAGAGAAUGGCUUUACCUGUAUCCCUGGUGGACAGGAGGCCUCCACUCCAGGGUCCCCUAGAGAUGCACAAAUAGAUAUAUUAUCAUUUUACAUAUAUAUUAUAGAUAAUAAUAAUACUAUAUUAUCAUAAUUUAUAAUAUAGUAUAUAUUUGUAUUAUAUUUAUAACAUAAUUAUAUUCAAUAAUAUAUAAUAUUGUAUUUAUAGAUAAGUAUAUAUAAAUCUCAUUAAACAUUUUCAUAUUGAUUACAUAUUGAAAUGAAAAUAUUUGGGAUAUAAUUAAUAUAUUUGUCAAAAUUAAUUUUAUUGGCUUCUUUCAAAUUUUUUUUAGUGCUGCUUCUAGAAAAUUAAAAAUCACGUAUGUUGCUUAUAUAAAAUCUAUACCACCCUCGAGGUAGCUUUUGUUUUUUGCAAGUGGUAGAUGCACAGCAGGAUCAUCUCAAACAAGGGUUUUAGUCUCUGGAUCUAUGCCUCAUUGCUCUGAAGCCUCAGAACCCAGACCCCAGGGCGGCCGCAGCUCAAGACUGGAUCUGCAAAGUGUUCCCGGGUCCUCAGUGGCUCAGACGCCCCCAGCAGAGGGGUCAGAAGCGACCUUCAGCCUACAGAGCUGUUCAACACCUCCUGCUCCUGGGCCUUUCCUUUCCUCGUACUGCCCACAUGGAGCCUCUCCGGAUUUCCUGUUAGAUUCAUGAGAGAAAGGGGAUCAAACUGGCCUUGCUAAUGCGUCUUCUCCCACAGCUCUUAUUGUGGAUUCCAACAGCACCCAGCCCUUGCUGGGAUUCUGGACGAAGCAUGGAGGAGGCCCAGCUCCUGGAGGACAAGGUCCGGUCCCCACACCUGCUGUUUACACUCUCCUGCCCUCCUGAGUUGGCAGCAAGAAUACAAGGACUUGCCUUGGCUUCUCAGCAGCUGAGAGGCAGCCAUUUUUGCCUUGAAAGUCACAGGCCUGGGCCCUGCAAGAACUACCAGCUAUUUGUGGAACAGGCCUCACUCAGAAGAGCAGCUUACAAGGACGUCAAGGGCCAAGAGAAAGCCUAGUCGUCAUCGGGGGCCUUGAAACUUUUGAAGUGACUCAGCAAAGCCGUGUACACAAAACUUUAUCAAUUAUGCAUCAUGAGUAAGUCAUUGAAAUGCACAAUGUACUAAUUGAAUAUUACUCUAAUUCAUAGCGAUAUGGAAUAAUUACAAACCCCACCCCAUCCUUCUUCGAAAUGCAGAGGCCGGCAGGAUGGACUGCCCUUGAGAGGCCUUGCAGUUGGGAGAGAUGCCCAGAGUCUGUUAAUAGGAGGCAGUGGAGAGGUGAGGAUCGCUGGGGAUUCUUUCGUGCAUUUCUCCAUCCGUCUUUGCCCAUCCUGCUCUGAUGGCAGAAAUCUAGAUGCGGCAACCCUCAUCCCUCCUCUCUGCUGGGCUCUUGCGUCAGAGGAAGGGCCAGCUCUUUGGCUCCUAACAACAUGUGAUGGACACCCUUCCCCAGCACUGGCCUCUGAAGGGCACGCAUGGGCCUGGGACCCAGUGCCAUCCUCCAGAAGGGCUUCACUUUCACCUCCUAAACCUGGGGUGCAUCCAGAACAAAGAGCCUUGGGUUAUCCUGACACGUGCCAGGUGUCUCAUUAGAUUGAAAGAAAACUUUGUAAAAGAAAUAAGAGUACAGAGGAAUUGAGUUUUUCACAGGGAGCAUUGAGAUGCUUAUAAAUUAGAUUCACUUACAGCGGCCAUCCCCAAGGGGUGAGGUCACGGGUCCCCUCUCAGUCUGCUGCUCUGGUUUUUGGUCUCGGCAUAUAUUCAGUUUCUAAUAAUCAUAAAA